GACGAACGCUGGCGGCGUGCUUAACACAUGCAAGUCGAACGAUGAAGCCCAGCUUGCUGGGUGGAAGAGUGGCGAACGGGUGAGUAACACGUGAGUAACCUGCCCAUCACUCUGGGAUAAGCGCUGGAAACGGCGUCUAAUACUGGAUAUGAACAGCGACCGCAUGGUCAGUUGUUGGAAAGAUUUAUUGGUGAUGGAUGGACUCGCGGCCUAUCAGCUAGUUGGUGAGGUAAUGGCUCACCAAGGCGACGACGGGUAGCCGGCCUGAGAGGGUGACCGGCCACACUGGGACUGAGACACGGCCCAGACUCCUACGGGAGGCAGCAGUGGGGAAUAUUGCACAAUGGGCGCAAGCCUGAUGCAGCAACGCCGCGUGAGGGAUGACGGCCUUCGGGUUGUAAACCUCUUUUAGUAGGGAAGAAGCGCAAGUGACGGUACCUGCAGAAAAAGCACCGGCUAACUACGUG
rnacentral:rRNA from 1 species